CCUAUACUACCCAAGUGUGGCAAGGCUGUCAAAUAACCAAAUUUCGUCACUACGUUCUUCUUCUUCUUGUAGAAUCCCGGUAGUGUAGAUGCUCAUCGUGUGUUGAAUAGAUAUAAAGUAGAAGCAGCAGUAGUGUUAGAAGAAUAAGUAGUAGUUGUUGUAGUUUAGUUGUCUGGUUUAUUAGAGACAAGUGAAAUUUGGAUAAAUGGAGGACCACACCUGUUAUUUAGCACUUUACACACUGAACCUUUAAUCGGUUGUGACCUCCCCCCAGUCAACUCACGGUGGAUUAAGCACACCUUCAACUGGGCAGCUAAAAUAACCAAGGAACUCUCUCUCACCACUUCCAGCUUCUCCUGUGUGGAAGGUGCUACAGGUAUCAACCAAAACCACUCGCCAAAAAAAACGCUUCUUUCCUUCAGCAGUCAGAAGAACACUCAACAACCCCAUGAGACCCCAUACUGAUCUGAAUGCACUGAAAGCUCUGGACUGAACUCAGGCUGGACUUGUUUGCACUGGUACAUCACUGUACCAUAUCACAUAUAUUCACUGUAUAUUCUCACAUUCAAGUGUUUUUCUGGGUUUUUUUUUUGGUGGUUUUUUUUGAACAAAUGGUUUUUGCAAGUUUUCUUUUCAUUACAGUAAAAGAAGACAUGGAAGCAAAAUACACCAAUGUCUCUGUACUGUCCUGGCUAAGGUGUGGUAACUCCAACUAUUUCAAAAUUGACCACUAUAUGAAAAAAGUGUCCUGCCUUAAACAGUAAAUUUGUAACUUUGAUGGAAGGCUUCUCAUCUAAUAACUCUCUAUUCUAUUAGUUUGUUGUGUGCUGAUAGAUGUUUAGGAGAUAUAACCCUGGUGACAGCUGUUCCUGAUGAAGUUCAGACAUUAUUUAGAAUUGGAAUUUAAACAUUUGCUAAUCAAAGGUAAAGCAAAGAACAGUGUACUGUUCCUCUGGUCAGUUAGUUUAGUUUAGUUUGUUAUGCUGUGUCAGUUUAUCUGCAUUUCCCUGGUGUUUCUGUGUGUUCUCUGUGUGUGUCUUUGUGUGAGUAGUCUCUCUGUCUCUCUCGCUCUCUUUGGGCAUUUUAAGAAAGUACCUCCUCCCCCUGAGUGAGCACCGAUGCUGGUUUGUUGAAGAUGUGUAACACCUUUGCUGCACGAUGGAGGAGUUUUUAUAAUUUACGCUAGGGAGAGUCAAGUUCAUCCGGAAGUUGGCCGCUGUAUUUAAACCCUACGCGGGUAAGGAAGCUCGAUUUGGCUGUGAGUUGACUCCGUGACGGAGUGGAAGUGGAGAGGGUCUAGUUUCAAAAAGGCCCUUGGUCACACUUCCUAAUUUCUCGAGUUAACAGUCGCCAUACUGCAGGCAACAACAGCACAACAUCAAAUUGGCGAGUUACCAGUUGUCCUACUGCAGGAUGCUGCAUUCAAAGACAGAGUCCAGUGAUGGAGUGUCCUUCAGGACCUGCAGUGUUUUGCUGUUUAUCAUUCUUCUAAUAGAGUCUGUUGGAGGUCAUUUCAAUGCACAACACUCCAGUAACACAUUAAAGACACAACUCAACAAAAACUGGAAUCUUUAAAACAAAAUACUGAGUACAUAAAUUUUGUGCGCUUUUUUGACAUUUUUCAUCAAGGUUGAAGAAAAGUGGUUAGGAAAGGAAAUUUUUUUUGACUUUUCAACGGCAGCCAAUGAUUUGUAGCAGUAUACUUUUACCUUGUUCACCAUCUUAGUUUAGC